GAUGGUGGGGGAGAUCGUCGUUCCUCUCGCGGCAAGGGGAAAACCAUAGUUGGCCCUCACGAUAAGCCGAAAAACAUGAGUGCGUGGGAGAAAGCAAUGCUUCAUUAUUUGCAAAGAUGUCAUGAAGAUGUGUUGCGGCGGGUCAGGAACCUCCUUUUGGUGGUCGUUAUGCUCCACCGCCAAUUCCAGGUGUUUUAGGUCCACUUAUAAGUACUACCAUUGCAGGAGGUACAA
rnacentral:lncRNA from 1 species